GUUGGGCAUGGUGGUGGGCGCCUGUAAUCCCAGCUACUUAGGAGGCUGAGGCAGGAGAAUCGCUUGAGCCUGGGGGCAGAGGGUGCAGUGAGCUGAGAUCACACCACUGCACUCCAGCCUAGGCAACAGAGCGAGACUCUGUCUCAA
ensembl:misc_RNA Metazoa_SRP Metazoan signal recognition particle RNA